UCUGCAUGAUGCCUGACUGUGAGUCUGUGUAUUUGUUCGCAUCUGCUGCCGGAGGAAGCUUUCUUGAUAAUGGCUGAGUAAUAUACUGAGCCGACUAUAUGUACUUCUGAAAAAUCCAUUCAGACUGUCUUCUGUACUGAAGGAAGAGAAUAAUGAAAAUCAACGGCAAAUAGAAGUUGCAACAAAGCAAUACCAGGAGCCAGCUUCAUGUAGAGGAGAGAACUCUGCACUACCUCAUGUCUCCCUUUACACACUCAGAGAGAAACGUGUUCAAUAACAAACAUUGACAUUUUCUCUGAAAGUAUAGUCAUAAAGGUUUACAACAACAAUAGAGCAAAACAACAGGUACUAAUAAUGCUCAAUAAUUACUCUCACGGGGUCUACUGGUCUCCCCACUCUCUAUUUUCAUGUCCCAAGCACCCUACUAUGCUCUCUUUUCCUCAUCUAUUAAGGUUUCUUCCUCUCUUGUGUUAGUGUUAGUCUUGUUGCUGUGACGGAAGACUCCACAAAAGCGACUUUAAAAUGUAAGUGUUUGCUUGAGCUUAUGUUUCAGGGGAUACGGUUCAUCGUGGCUGGAACAGGAGGUGGUCACACGGCAUCCACAGUGAGGAAGCUGAAUAAGGAAUACUACCGCCCAGCUCCUUUCUCCU
rnacentral:lncRNA from 1 species